UACGUAGGGUGCUAGCGUUGUCCGGAUUUAUUGGGCGUAAAGGGCUCGUAGGCGGCUCAGACAGUCAGAUGUGAAAGCCCCGGGCUUAACCUGGGAACUGCAUUUGAUACUACUGAGCUUGAGUACGGGAGAGGAUAGUGGAAUUCCCAGUGUAGAGGUGAAAUUCGUAGAUAUUGGGAAGAACACCGGUGGCGAAGGCGGCUAUCUGGACCGUAACUGACGCUGAGGCGCGAAAGCGUGGGGAGCAAACAGG
rnacentral:rRNA from 1 species